CGAAGGAUGCAAGCGUUAUCCGGAUUCAUUGGGUUUAAAGGGUGCGUAGGCGGACUGAUAAGUCAGUGGUGAAAUCUCUUUGCUUAACAAAGAAACUGCCAUUGAUACUGUCGGUCUAGAGUAUAGAUGACGUUGGCGGAAUAUGACAUGUAGUGGUGAAAUACUUAGAUAUGUCAUAGAACACCGAUUGCGAAGGCAGCUAACGAAACUAUAACUGACGCUGAGGCACGAAAGUGCGGGGAUCAAACAGGAUUAGAUACCCUGGUAGUCCGCAACCGUAAACGAUGAUCACUCGUUGUGGCGAUAUGACAGUCAGCGACCAAGCGAAAGCGAUAAGUAAUCCACGUGGGGAUACGCCGGCAACGGUGA
rnacentral:rRNA from 1 species